AAAAUUGUUAGAAUGGAUAUUUGCAUAAAGUCCAGAAAUUUCAGCAAUAGAUGUGUAGCACAUAUCAAAAUUAAUUAAAAUUAAUUUUCAAAUCCUUUUCAACCAGACUAGGUUUCGCCGCAGUCUGCAAAUAUAUUUAUUAAACUAAUCCAAUUUAUCAAUAAUAUCAGCAUGACAUAUACCCUAGAGAGAAGCAAACCCAAAGCUAUUCCAAUUUUAACUGUUAACAAUUAUCAAGAUUAUGGCCACAAUUGAUAAUUUUGAUAAAAGUUAACCAGUAACCACGAUAAAAAAAGUGCAAAUAGAUUUUUAUUUUUAUUUGGUCACUUGCCUCAUUGUAUUUCACGACUUGCAAACAAGAGUAACACCAAUGUUAUAAGAACCAGACCGGACUGGCCAGUUCAACUGGUUUAACCGGGAACCGGACCAGCAGACAAUCCUAUUUAGAUGUGAAACCCACUUUUUGUAAGAAUUAGGGUUGACCCUCAUGAACCGGCCGGGUAACCGGUGAACCGGCCAACCCGGUCAGUUCAAAACAGUUUGAUAAACUCAACUUUUUUUAAAAAAAAAUUGAAAGAUGUUUACAAAAGGAUUUAAACCUGGUACAAAAGAAACCAUACAUUGUGCAGUUUGCCAUCUCAUCCAGCUUCACUUAUGCAAAUUUCUCUUCAUAUAAUAUAUAAAAACAUAUAUCUAAUUAAAUUAUUA
rnacentral:misc_RNA from 1 species